ACCAGCUACAGACCAGUUACAACACGCUGACUAAAGAGAGAGACCAGCUACAGACUGAGAGAGUUUUCUUAGCGGAGGCUUUCCAAUCUCAAACAAACCUGUCCUGAAGGCUGGCAGAAGUUUGAAUCCAGUUGGUACUUCUGUCUACUGAGACUAAAACCUGGAAGGAGAGCAGAGAGGACUGUCUGGAGAGAGGAGCAGACCUGGUGAUCAUUAACAGUGAUAAGGAACAGGAGUUUCUCUUCAACCUCAACAAGGGAGUCUGGAUUGGUCUGACUGACUCUGUUACUGAGGGGACAUGGAGAUGGGUGGACGGCACCCCACUGACCCACCCCAAGGUACUGGUCUCCAAAUCAGCCUGAUAAUGGUGGUGGCAAACCAGAAGAAUAUGGUGAGGAGGACUGUGUUCAGAUACAUAAAGAACAGAGUCCUCGAAAGUCAUGGAAUGACAUUUCAUGUGACAGGAAAAUCUACUGGGUUUGUGAGAAAGUGGUUUAACAUCACUAUGACAACAUACUGUAACACAUACAGCAGCCUUCAAUGUACACAGCUUCCUCCAUUCUCUCUCUCUCUGUCUUUCUCUCUCACACACUCACACCCACACAUGCACAUACACAAACGCAUACAUAUAUUGUUGUAUUUGUUUGUAGAAUCAUUUUAAUAAAGUCCUAAUUCUU